AACCGCCUUUCUCUAAUUUCAUUCCAAUCGACAAUCGUCUACUCUUCUCCACAGACCACAGUCUAUUAUUACUGCAAAAGUUCAUACAUUUUCUGCUCUUGUAAUUAGAAUUAACUAGUUCCAAUCACAAAUGGGGUUAUCGUCUUCUGCGACAUCGUCUGGUUCUCCGUCAAAUUGCUUUUCUACCAGCUAUUUGAGAUGGAAUCUUCUACUUACACUUACCUUUUGUGCCAAUGCUUCUCACCCUGAUAAACCAGCCUUAUUGGUUGAUCCAGUUGAGAAGACAGUGGAUAGGGAUCUUUCCCUUGUGAAAGAAUUGGGUUUGAAACGUCUAUAUGCAAUAAUUACUCAUGUACAUACUGAUCAUGUUACUGGCAUUGGUUUGAUUAAGACUUGCAGAAUAAAUUUUGUUUGGAGGGAAUUCGUAAUUGGUUUCAUAAUAAUUAAACGUAGAGCCUCUAAACUCUCAGUACCGGCCCUACUCUCCUCCUCUCCAUCUUGCCACCUCCCACCACUGACCAUCGGCCUCUGACGUUCUAGCCCUAUACACAGGUCACGCAGCACCUUCAACCCCUAGAUGCCUUCGAGCCCUUGAACUUCUCGAGACACGGCAGCCGGCAGCUGUCCUUCGAGUCUACAUUUCCACCAACGAUUCAAUCGUAGAAGAAGAAGAUAAAGGAGCUUAUUAGAGGUGAAGGACGCUCAAAAUGCAGAGCACAUGGAGAUCCCACUGUUCCAGAGCGGAUAGGCUACAAGAUCUUCACCAAAGUUCAUGGUCAGUAAAUGCAGAGACUAAUCCAGAAUAAUAAAGUCAUGCAACCUUGUAAGGUAGUUUAAUUAGAACAUAUUUGUUGUUGAGCAUUGACAGUCUCUUUUUUCUAUCUUAGAGGAGGAAAAAAAACUUAAAAAUUCGGCUUUUGGAGUAACAUAUCCACAUUAUUAUAGACAUCAGAGAACUAAGUUCAUAUUCAAUGAGUGGUUGGAUUAAUGGGAGUGAACCUGCACCUGAUCCACUCCUUUCC